GGAAGACUGGAGCUCGGUGAUGUUCUGGAGGCUUUAGAGGACGACGAGUGAACUUGUCGGUGGACCACAGAAACGUCUUUGUGGAUUCCACCCUCCUAAAGUGUUCAUUUCAGACUUUCAGGUCGUAAGUGUUCCACCUGCUGCAAGUGUUCCACCUGCUUUACUCCACUCCUACUGCUGUAGCG